rnacentral:lncRNA from 1 species
CUGAAAAUGUCCGCUUUUUGCCUGUCAUUGCGUGGGCAGUUUUUGCGGAGGAGCCGACACCUGAGCUGGGCUUUGAAGGCAAGAGCCAUCUAUUAAAUGGCACGAUGUGCUGGAAACAAACUCCAAGCAGGACUGGGAGAUUCACAAUCAGCUCACUAGAGAAGCCAUUGAAGAAACCGAGCCCAUCACCCUGGAGAAAACAAGACCUGGAGUGGAGUGAUUCCAUCCAUGUUGGGAUGAGCACCGAGCAGACACCAUGUGGUCGGAGAAGAAAAGCGCCAACGAACACCCCCAGAGGUGUGCUGUCUAGGAGGCUCCAAAUCCAGGCUAGCAGAUGAUGAAGAUCGUCACACCUCCAGUCCCAGUUAUGGCCUUCACCCUGCACAUCUCUUUUACAGCCUGCAUCUGUCUGCUUCUUUCUCCUGACCUACACCAACGAAUGCACACCCAGCCCCUUGAGGGUGCCCCUGCCUGCCCUUGUAUCCAGCCUCCUCCAUCCCUGCUUCCCCAUGUUUCCCUGCCCUGCUCCACACUUGCAGGAUGCCCCAUGGCUGGAGGCUCCUGACACUCUGGGCACACCCCACAGUGGGCCCACAGGUGCUGAUUUUACCUUGUCCCAACCCCUAUGUUCUCCAUCUCUCUGUCACUGCCCAUAGCCUACCCCAGGCUUCAAGCACACACUUGUUCACCUCGAGUAAGAUCAAAAAUAAACUCUCUGGAACCUGUUCAAAGGCU